rnacentral:rRNA from 1 species
UACGGAGGGGGCUAGCGUUGUUCGGAAUUACUGGGCGUAAAGCGCGCGUAGGCGGCUUUGUAAGUUAGAGGUGAAAGCCCGGAGCUCAACUCCGGAAUUGCCUUUAAGACUGCAUCGCUAGAAUCAUGGAGAGGUUAGUGGAAUUCCGAGUGUAGAGGUGAAAUUCGUAGAUAUUCGGAAGAACACCAGUGGCGAAGGCGACUUACUGGACACAUAUUGACGCUGAGGUGCGAAAAGCGUGGGGGAGCAAACAGG